UGAGGUGUAGCUCAGAGCCGGAGCACAUGUCUGAUAUUUGUGAGACCCUGGGUUCCAUUCCCAGCACUACAA
rnacentral:tRNA from 1 species